AUCUAUGGCCAUGCUACCCUGAACGAGCCCGACCCCGUCUGAUCUUGAAUGCUAAGCAGGGUCAGGCCUGGUUAGUAAUUGAAUGAGAGACCACCUGGGAAGACCAGGUGCUAUAGGCG
rnacentral:rRNA from 1 species